AGUCGCACGAGAAAGGGGAGCAAUCCCUGAGUAAAGUGGCGCACGGGUGAGUAACACGUGAAUGAUCUACCUCCGAGUGGGGAAUAACUGAGAGAAAUCUUAGCUAAUACCGCAUAACACUUACGAGUCAAAGCAGCAAUGCGCUUGGAGAGGAGUUCGCGGCCGAUUAGUUAGUUGGCGGGGUAAUGGCCCACCAAGACGAUGAUCGGUAUCCGGCCUGAGAGGGCGCACGGACACACUGGAACUGAAACACGGUCCAGACUCCUACGGGAGGCAGCAGUGGGGAAUUUUGCGCAAUGGGGGAAACCCUGACGCAGCAACGCCGCGUGGAGGAUGAAAUAUCUUGGUAUGUAAACUCCUUUCGAUGGGGAAGAUUAUGACGGUACCCAUAGAAGAAGCCCCGGCUAACUUCGUGCCAGCAGCCGCGGUAAUACGAGGGGGGCAAGCGUUGUUCGGAUUUAUUGGGCGUAAAGGGUGCGUAGGCGGUUUGGCAAGUCUGAUGUGAAAUCUAUGGGCUCAACCCAUAGUCUGCAUCAGAAACUGCCGGGCUUGAGUAUGGGAGAGGUGAGUGGAAUUUCCGGUGUAGCGGUGAAAUGCGUAGAUAUCGGAAGGAACACCUGUGGCGAAAGCGGCUCACUGGACCAUAACUGACGCUGAUGCACGAAAGCUAGGGGAGCAAACAGGAUUAGAUACCCUGGUAGUCCUAGCCCUAAACGAUGAUUGCUUG
rnacentral:rRNA from 1 species